ACAAAUCAUUGCGGGCUUCGGCUCACAUUAACCCGGCCGUGAGGCCAGGUCUUGUAGACCUGUGCUAUGUGGAUUAGUCUGCAUGGUGCAGGUCGACAUUAACGCUUGCAUGUUUGACUGUGUGUUGGAUAAUAAAAAUGA
rnacentral:misc_RNA from 1 species